UACGAAGGGGGCUAGCGUUGCUCGGAAUCACUGGGCGUAAAGGGUGCGUAGGCGGGUCUUUAAGUCAGGGGUGAAAUCCUGGAGCUCAACUCCAGAACUGCCUUUGAUACUGAAGAUCUUGAGUUCGGGAGAGGUGAGUGGAACUGCGAGUGUAGAGGUGAAAUUCGUAGAUAUUCGGAAGAACACCAGUGGCGAAGGCGGCUCACUGGCCCGGUACUGACGCUGAGGCGCGAAAGCGUGGGGAGCAAACAGG
rnacentral:rRNA from 1 species